CUUGGAAAUCUCCUCAGCUAAACAUGCCAUUUCAGUGCUUAUAACCUCUGUCUUCUGCAGAACUCUGGAGCAUGAACACGACUCAGCCGGGUCCCUUGCCGCUGUGCAGCGAGGCUUGCCUUUUCUGCCUUGUACAAUAAAGUACUUCUCACUUCCUUCCGUGAGUGCAUCAGAGUGGCCUUUACCGGAUUACCACCAUUUGAUCCAUGAUGAGAUACAUUCUGUCUAAGAAGAGGGCUGCUUUGCUUUCUCCACACCGCUCUCCUUUCCUCUCUGAGCCAUCUCCUGAAUCACAUUUGACUUUGCCUUCGCCUUCAUAGGCCUCACCGGAAAGCAUGCACCUCAAAACGUCCAGUCUUGGCCGAUGACCCCGUUUAAAGCCGCUUGCACAUUUUCAGUAUUUCUUAGAGCAGCACCCACUCCUCGGUACCAAUGUCUGUCUUAGUUCAUAAUGUUACAGCAAAAUACCGAAAACUGGGUGGCUUAGGACAUUUGUCACAUUUGUUUCUCACCAUUCUGGGUAUGGGAAAUCCAAGAUAGGGUGCCAGCAGGGUCAGAGGAGGAUGCAUCUCCUCCUUACUGGGGCUGCUGACUCCUCGUGUCUUCUCGGGGGACAGAGAGAGAGAGAGCGAGAGCGAGAGAGGGAGGGCUGGUGCUCCGCCCCCUCGCUGUGCGGGCACUGCUGCCAUCUGUGGCGCCUCCAUCCUCACCCUCCUCACCUCCCAGAUGGCCCCCCUCCAGACUGGACGUUUGAUCACAGCAUGUGAAUUUAGGGGGAUCCACAGGUACUUCCUUAAUUGCAUAUGCAAAUUCCAUUUUUGGUUUUCAAGGAACUGCUCUACUGCUUCCGAUUGCAGCUGCAUUUUACUUUUCUUUUGCAGAUUAAAGAAGAAUUCCAAUAUUUUGACAUCCUCAGUGUUUCUUUCCUGUUUUUUUUUUUUAAAUAGUGACCAUCCUCAUACGUGUGAAAUGAGAGGUUUCCUUGUGGCUAUAGCACUUAGAUUGCUCUGCUGGCUGGUGAUACUGAACGUCCUCUCCUAUGUAGGUUUGCCAUCUCUCCUUAAUGGAAUAACUUUGUAACCAGGGCGGGAGACAGACCUCCAAAGUGUAAAUAAACCUACGUGGACAAAGAAUGCUGAAGUCUGAACCAACGCAGUCACCUAAAUAACCCUAUUCUUAAGACAAAACUUCGAGGUAAUUAUGAAUCACCUGUGUACAUCAUGCCUUAUACAGACGCUUACCCAAAAGGCCCUAUAAAACCCCAGGCCCUAAACCCUUAAGUGCACCUCCUCUCUGAGGUGCCCACACCCCCCUUUCUUUGAGUGUGUUGCUCUCUCUGUUCUACUCCAGAUAAGUAGGGAGGGGCUGCUGAGCUCUGAUCUGGGUGGGCUCGCAAGUCCCUGCUGCCUGGGUGACCCGGACAGGACUGCAGCUUCGUGAUCAUGCUCUUUAGUAGCCUGCCUGAAAAGUGCCCUUUCUUUGCCUUUGGGAAGUUCUCAGAGCAUCAUCUCACUCCAUCCAGUGCUCUGAGGCGCCCCCAAAUCCUGGGGUGGUAGGGCUUAGGCCCCACGCUGUGCAGAUCCAAGCGGACAGUGGACGCCAGGCCACCCUGGCUUCAGGGGAUCUGCCCUGUGCGGAGCGGCAGGUCAAGAGCUUCCCUUUCCUUCCUCCGUUCCUCCUUCCUGUCUGCUGCAUCCAGGCACACCUGCCUUUAUCUGUCUUGACUCUAGCCCACGCUUCCCCAGGCGUGGACGCAAAUACCCUGCCUUUGUCCGCCUUGACUCUGGCCUGCCCCUCCCUUGAAGUGCCUUCAAAUAAAACUUAUGUUCCGCUUCACUCCUGUGUCUCUGCCCUUCAGGUCUUCGUUGUGGUGGGACAAGGACCGAGGCGAACGAACUCAACCCACAAAAGAAUUAAAAACAAUUUUUUAGUUGAUUUGAAUAUGCAACCAAGCUUGAAAAUCACAGUGCUAGACCUUUAUCUCUUAAGGGGUUGUCUCGUAAUUGUCUGGCCUGGAACAACUGGGGAUUUUGUAAGGGAUGCUGUUGGCUGCAGAGUGUCCUUGGCUGGGUGAAGGAGCCAUAGAGUCAGUCCUUAACUUCCUCCUCUGUCUGUCACCCCCCCCCCUGCUGCGCCCAAUUCUGACUCAGACUGAAGUUUGGGAACCAUUGCACCCAACCAGGGGUUGGCAGGUGUUUUCUGUCAAGGCCCCAAUAGUGAACAUUUCAGCCUCUGAGCUACCUGGUCUCUGUGACAACUCUUGCCAUCGUGACAUGAAAUGAACUAUUUCACAGGUAAUUUUGUAAAUGAACAUGCGUGGCCAUGUUCCAAUGAAACUUUACUUAUGGAUACUGAAAUUUGAAUUUUCUGUAACUUCCAUGUGUCAGAAAAUACUAUUUUCUUUCAUACGCUUUCAUCCUGUUUGGGAUCCUCCGGGCUUUGUGGGCAUGUCUGUCUGCUUGAUUGUGGAGAGGGGUUUGCCUGCGUUCACUCACCAAAUUGUUCACAUUCACCAUGUACGAUUCUUUGUAAAUCAGUUAUCCCCCAGUAAAGCUGUUAAAAAUAUGA